rnacentral:lncRNA from 1 species
UAUAAACUAUAUACAGCUGAUAUAAACAGGCUUUAAUCAUAGCUCAUCACUCAUCAUUUCAUUAUUCUUUUCAGUUAAAGACUAUACAAAAUUUCUAACAGUGGUACUCCUGACUGACAAUACAAAUUUCUUUCUAGUUUGAUGUCGUCUACAAAAAGAAAUAUGGGGGUCUCUUCAUCAGGACCGUUGUGCUAUCUUUCUCACCUUCGCCCACCCGUGCUGAGUCAAAUGUUGAAGCAGAUGUUCAGCUGAUAUUUAACGAGAAUUCCACAAAGCCUGUUCCAGCUACUGCAGACAUUGUGGACACUCUGAAAGGGGCAAUUUCAAACACAAGCUCAGGAUUCAACUUGACAGUGGACCCUGCUAGCAUCACAGUCCUCAGUGUACCGCAGAUGCUCCCUGUUAUAUUCCUGACAAAUGAUACAUUUGUAACAGCUCUUUCAGACUCCACCUCAGACUUAUUUACCAACAGGUCAAUAAUCAUCAAAACAAGUCUUGAACCUUUUUUCACAGCUGACUUCCCUUCAGCGUUCAGCAGCUUGAUAAUUUCAAAUUUCAGUAAUGGAGGUCUCAGCAUGACAGGUCAAACGAGGAUUCUGAAUCAGAUGGACGUCUUUUUUGGGUCGUCUGCUGCACUUCCCAACAGCACCCAGAUCGCACAAACUUUAAUUAAAGCAGCUAAAAACAACACCCUCCCCUUUCAGAUCUUCACCUCACAGAUCACAGUGAAUGGCACGGGUAAGUCACUUUUUGCUGGUUAAGGAGAGAAUUGCUUCUGUUGAAUUCAGCAACAUCAAAAGCUUUAG